UUUUACUUCACAGUUCAGCCAUACAUUGUGUAUGAUAAUGUAACUUUUAACCCCCAUGAAUAUGUGAACAUAUACAACUACAAAAUAGAAAUCAUUUUAUAGUGCCUUUAUUAUGCAAAAUACUUUUGAGGCCUGCAUUUUAAUGUACAUACAAACUUACCUUAAAGGAGGGCUUACCACAUUUGUCAAAACAUAUACUGUAUAUACAUUACGGGCCAUUCCACUAAAUCGGUCUAUUUUUCUUUUUUUUUGACAAAGUGUCCAGCACGUUGAUUCAAAUGGCAUAUUUAAAACAUGGAACACUGGGGCAUGUCCAUGCUUCCUACAAUUAAAAACAAUUUAAAUCCUUCCUUUUUUUUCACAUAUUUGUGUCCCUCCUUAUCACAACUACUUUUGAGGAUUUUUUUUCCUUAUUUUUAAGGUUACAAUUCACUUUCAAUGUGUCCCUGGGCCAAACUGGCCACUCUGUCCUGUUACCCCCUCUGAAAAAUGUCACAUGGUCUGCCGUUGCGUCAUUUGAAAGGGCAAAAGUAAGUCCACUCUUAUUUUUAUCUGUAUGUCCAUCCAUUUUCUACUGCUUAUUCCCUUUGGGGUUGCGGGUUUAUCUGUAUGUAUGUAAUGUAUAUGUAUGUCAAUGAUAUUUCAUGCAUGAUUUUAAAAUAUGUUCUUGUGUUUAUAUUUCAGAAUUUUUUGGUUGAAGAACUAUAAUGUGCUUUGUGUGCUGUGACGUAUUGUUCAUAGUUUGCUGAUUGUGUGCUAAAAACUAACUCAUUAAAAACAAACCGUUACUUUCAGUCCUGCUACUCCCUCUGAAAAGUCACACGGUCCACAGGAAAUUGUACAAAACUUUCGAGAUCAAUUACUCGAGGCUCCUAUUGGCUCUCUGAGUGGUAAUGCCGGGCGACUCCUCGCUCCCUCCCAUCGAAACCUGGCAGAGGCUGCCCGAAUUUGUCCACGCACCAACAGAAGCCUCGCUUUCUGCCCUUGGACGGACGGCACUGCGAGUGAAGAGGAGGGACAGGAAAGAAGCCCUUCUUGUCACAGUUUGGUAUGCGGAAACCACGGGGGUUGAGGGUGUCUGUAAUCUUCAGGCUGCUGAGAAUGCUCUCGAUCUCUCGCCGACAGGGACCCUGCACAACAGAUAAGCAUUUACUGUAUCUUCUCUCAACAUUGUCACAGAUAUGCCGAUUAAGUGGCUGUAUCUGAUCUUUGUUGUGUAUACAUGUGUGGUGUUUCCAAGCGACCCGUAGCUGCUAUGGCUGUGUUUACAUUUACUAAAUAUGCAAAGCAACCACAGUCCAUGUCGACAACUGCUGUCAACAUUAGGCAGUGACAAAACAAAUUUGUACACCUCCAUGUAAUGUAAACCAGAAUAUAUCAUAUUUGGAUGAUAUUUCAUUGCCUGGUCACCUCAAAACCAUGUUGCUUGGAUUCACAUGACGUCACAUCCUGAUGGUUAAAUACUGUAGUCAAGCCAGCGCCUGUUCUCAAUGGGUACUAGGCGCCAUUUAGCCGUUCUUAAAAAAAAUUGCCCUAUGCUUGCCUUCUUUUCGGCUUUACGAACCGUACGAAUCGCGAAAAGGAUAAACGUAACGUAUUUUCGGGACUACAGGGCGCACCAGAUUAUAAGGCGUACUGUCGAUGAAUGGUCUAGUUUCGAUCUUUUUUUCAUAUAUAAGGUGCACCGGAUUAUAGGGCGCAUUAAAGGAGUCGAAUGAAAAACACUUUUUUGUGGUCUACAUAACAUAUAGUGGUGGUUCUUUGGUCAAAAUGUUGCAUAGAUUUUUUUACAGAUCAUCUUCAAGUCGCUUUCUGACAGUCGUUUUAUGAUGCGCCUUUUUGUUGGAGGUCUUACCUAGGUGUCUCACCUUCGAUAGCGUCUUCUCCCCGUCAUCUUUGUUGUAGCGGUGUAGCGUGCAAGGACGGGAGUGGAAGAAGUGUCAAAAGAUGGAGCUAACUGUUUUAAUGACAUUAAGACUUUACUUAGGGCCAGAUCUGGCCCACGGGCCUUGAGUUUGACACCUGUGGUCUACACAAAUGUGUCGGAGUACAUGUGACAACGGGACUAAAAUCAAAUAUGGUGAAGAUCCAGCAAUUGUUGGUUUGUUCAAUGGAUGUGCUCGUUGUGGUAGUUUGUUUACAUGAACGCGUCCUCGCAAGACGCGUAGUUGAAUCAUGAAAUGCAACCUCACCCGAAAAAAAACUAUGCAUAUUUAUCCGGGAGAGUCCUGAUACCAACUUUCUUGACUUAGCCCCACAGAAAGAAGUUGUAGACCUCCAUCCUUUUUCAAGUUUCCGUCUGUUUUGUCGUGUAGAAGGACGCCUGCAGCACAAAGUAGUUCAAUAUGUAUGGGGAAACUCCACCGACAAAUGAUCCUAAAUAUCACUCGACAAAUAUGUUUUUUUUUUGGAUGAAGUGUAAUGAUCUAUUCCAUCGAGUAAUUAGAUUUUUUUUCUCGUAUCUGCUUUUUGCAGGAAGAUCUAGGCUCUUUGCGUACUCAGAUAGUUGUGGAGAGCACUGCUUGCUGCACAGUAACCAUACUGGUUUGAUUGACAACCGUUUUUUUUUCCAUUUCUGGGAAGUAGU